CAGUCGCCGCGGUAAUACGAAGGGGGCUAGCGUUGUUCGGAAUUAUUGGGCGUAAAGGGCGCGUAGGCGGUUUGGCAAGUUUCGUGUGAAAUCUUCGGGCUCAACUCGAAGUCUGCACGGAAAACUGCCGGGCUUGAGUAUGGGAGAGGUGAGUGGAAUUUCCGGUGUAGCGGUGAAAUGCGUAGAUAUCGGAAGGAACACCUGUGGCGAAAGCGGCUCACUGGACCAUAACUGACGCUGAGGCGCGAAAGCUAGGGGAGCAAACAGGAUUAGAUACCCCCGUAGUCCCUGUCUCUUAUAC
rnacentral:rRNA from 1 species